AACGAACGCUGGCGGCAGGCCUAACACAUGCAAGUCGAGCGAGGACUUCGGUUCUAGCGGCGGACGGGUGAGUAACGCGUGGUAAUGUGCCCUUCUCUACGGAAUAUCCCUGGGAAACUUGUAGUAAUACCGUAUACGCCCUUUUGGGGUAAGAUUUAUCGGUGAAGGAUCAGCCCGCGUUGGAUUAGGUAGUUGGUGGGGUAAUGGCCUACCAAGCCGACGAUCCAUAGAUGGUUUGAGAGGAUGAUCAGCCACACUGGGACUGAGAAACGGCACAGACUACUACGGGAGGCAGCAGAGGGGAAUAUAAGAAAAUGGGGGCAAACCUGAUGAAGCCAUGCCGGGUGAGUGAUGAAGGCAUUAGGGUUGUAAAGCUCUUUCAGAUGGGAAGAUAAUGACGGUACCAGCAGAAGAAGCACCGGCUAACUCCGUG
rnacentral:rRNA from 1 species